CACACCGCCCGUCACGCCAUGGAAGCUGGGGGGACCUAAAGUCGGUGGGCUAACCUUUUCCUUCGGGAAGAGGAAGCAGCCGCCAAAGGUCAAUUCAGUGACUGGGGCG
rnacentral:rRNA from 1 species